UACGUAGGUGGCAAGCGUUGUUCGGAAUUAUUGGGCGUAAAGAGCGUGUAGGCGGCUUUACAGGUCCGUUGUGAAAACUCGAGGCUCAACCUCGAGACGCCGGUGGAAACCGUAAAGCUAGAGUCCGGAAGAGGAGAGUGGAACUGCGAGUGUAGAGGUGAAAUUCGUAGAUAUUCGCAAGAACACCAGUGGCGAAGGCGGCUCACUGGCCCGGUACUGACGCUGAGGCACGAAAGCUAGGGGAGCAAACAGG
rnacentral:rRNA from 1 species